ensembl:lncRNA
GACAGCAUUAGUUGCUAACAAUGAAUGAAAGGUGAUGAAAUUGGGAACUAACCUGCAGUUCUACAGCCUUGUUCUUAUGAGCUAAGGAGAAGAGGACCAUCCAGUGGCAGAAAGCUUAGCCCAGCCAGAACUGAUGUGAGACUCCACAGCUGGGCAGGCUUGCAAGGACGUGGGAACAAACUGCAGGCUGCAUGGGAGCAAGGCACAAGAGGGGGAGCGUGUUAUCAUGUACAUGAAUUUCACCUGCGAUAUGUGGUGCUGAGCAGCUUGCUGGAAUCAGGACGGACCGUGUAGGUAUGUUGAGAAAUUUACUGUGCAGAGUAAGAAAGAAGGGGCUUGAGCUAUUUGUACAGUUGAAUAAAAAUAAAAGCUGCUAAGACUAAGUCCCAAGCAUUUCCCUGUAUUUUUCCUCUGUAUGAGUUUGGAGAAACCAAUUUAAGGUGCUGUGUUUAGGGAAGAUGAGACUCGUUUCUCUACCGUUCUUAAAAUAAUAGCAUGAGAUACCUGCUCUUCUUUCUGCCUGUAGGUUCAUGCUGCAUUUCUUAAUGGCAUUGAGAUUCUCCUUUCUCUGAUGUAAAAUGUUUUUAUUUCUCUAAAAAGGAAGAAUAAAAUUGAAUUUUUCUUUUUCCUGUAGUGAUUUAGAUGGUUGCUAUAGCGAGGUGAACUGAAAAACUGAUGAGCAGAAUCUUUCACUUGCUUCAGUGUGUCCAGGAGGCAGAUGGUCCAGGGCAGUUAAUGAAAGCAGGGCUGAUGUCAAAGGAAUUGUUUAUGUAAGCAAUAUUUAUCUUACCAUUCCCAGUAAUAACAGUGGUGUUACAAAACAGCUCUAAAAUCCUGGCUCAGAAGAACUGAGAACCUUCACGCUCUAACCCAGAUUCAGUGUCUGGGGUCCUGUCUUUAAACUGAAUCCAGCUGAAGUCCUGUGCCUAAGCUCCCUACACAUUUGGGUAACGUGUUUGAUCUUUCUUGUCAUCCAAGUAUUGCAGGAUUUUUAUUUUGUGGAAGGCUUUAGCUUUCCAGAUACGUGACUAUCUAGCAGUAACACACAAAAACAGAGUUUUUUUUCCCCCUGUUGCAUUAGGCAUUGCAGAGAAACAGUAUCCACUUUAAACCCCUCAGAAGGACAACACUGACAACUAUUCCCUACUGAGGAUUUAGGGUCUAAUUCAGCUCCCAUUAAUCUCAGUGACAAAAGUUCUAUAGCAGGAUUUAGAGAUCUAGGCCACUAGUACCAGUGUAUUAAGCAUGGGGGCAGAAAUCAGGUGACUAGAGACCUGUGUGUUAGACUACUCUUUAAAGAGAGGGAUAAAAGAAGAGGAUUUGAUGUUAGGAGAAGAACUCUGCACUAUGCAACAUACAUGGCCAGGAAGUUACGAGUAGUAGCAACUCUAGACCAAAGUAAAAAAUCAAGUUUAGAGGGAAUAUUAAAGACACUGACUGCUGUCUUAGCCAGAUGAGAAUGCUGCAGUGCUGUUUGCAUGACCUGCUUUGCCCUGAUGUUGAGGAACCCUUACCUGCGUGUAACAAUGCUUUCUGAGCAGCAGCUUUUUGCUUAACAUUGGAGUUGCAACUGGGGAAGAAGGAAACACUGAUUUUCCAGUUGUGGAGGAUCAUUCUGCCAUGCAGAAAAGCACAGGAUGGGUAGUAUGCAUUUGCAAUAAAACCACGUGCUUUAUAUACACCUAGUAUGCUCUUUUAGAGCUCUUUUGGGCUUGUAGCAUGUGUGUAGUAACCAGCAGG